rnacentral:misc_RNA from 1 species
ACCCGAUCUACUCUAGAUAGAGUGAGGUAUUGGCUUUAGGACGCGUCAGCGAUCUUUAGCUUGAAUGCAUUAAGGCUGAUGAGUUCCCAAUGGUGGCCUCAAUGUGUGCUAGCGGACAGAUGUUUCGAUGUCACAUUAAGGUUCCAGUGCAAGCUCUAUAAACGGCCUCCUGACGACGUAUGUGUGUGUGUGUGAGUGUGAUUAUGAUGGCAGGCGGCAUGUUUACCAUGCGCUGUCGUCAUCAUCGUGCUCUCAUAUGUGAUCAUGUUGUCGUCAUCAUCUA